rnacentral:rRNA from 1 species
CCUACGGGAGGCAGCAGUGAGGAAUAUUGGUCAAUGGACGAGAGUCUGAACCAGCCAAGUAGCGUGAAGGAUGACUGCCCUAUGGGUUGUAAACUUCUUUUAUAAAGGAGUAAGGUGAGUCACGUGUGCCUUUUUGUAUGUACUUUAUGAAUAAGAAUCGGCUAACUCCGUGCCAGCAGCCGCGGUAAUACGGAGGAUCCGAGCGUUAUCCGGAUUUCUUGGGUUUAAAGGGAGCGUAGAUGGGUUGUUAAGUCAGUUGGGAAAGUUUGCGGCUCAAACGUAAAAUUGCAAUUGAUACUGGCAGUCUUGAGUACAGUUGAGGUAGGCGGAAUUCGUGGUGUAGCGGUGAAAUGCUUAGAUAUCACGAAGAACUCCGAUUGCGAAGGCAGCUUACUAAACUGCCACUGACAUUGAUGCUCGAAAGCGUGGGUAUCAAACAGGAUUAGAUACCCGGGUAGUC